rnacentral:rRNA from 1 species
CAGCAGCCGCGGGAAUACAGAGGGUGCAAGCGUUGUUCGGAAUUAUUGGGCGUAAAGGGUGCGUAGGCGGUUUGGCAAGUUUGGUGUGAAAUCUUCGGGCUCAACUCGAAGUCUGCAUCGAAAACUGCCGGGCUUGAGUAUGGGAGAGGUGAGUGGAAUUUCCGGUGUAGCGGUGAAAUGCGUAGAUAUCGGAAGGAACACCUGUGGCGAAAGCGGCUCACUGGACCAUAACUGACGCUGAUGCACGAAAGCUAGGGGAGCAAACAGGAUUAGAUACCCCAGUAGUCCCUGUCUCUUAUAC